GACGAACGCUGGCGGCGUGCUUAACACAUGCGAGUCGAACGAUGAAGCCUAGCUUGCUAGGUGGAUUAGUGGCGAACGGGUGAGUAAUACGUGAGUGACCUACCUUUGACUCUGGGAUAAGCCUGGGAAACUGGGUCUAAUACCGGAUACGACCAAUCUCCGCAUGGGGUGUUGGUGGAAAGCGUUAUGGAGUGGUUUUAGAUGGGCUCACGGCCUAUCAGCUUGUUGGUGAGAUAAUGGCUUACCAAGGCGACGACGGGUAGCCGGCCUGAGAGGGUGACCGGCCACACUGGGACUGAGACACGGCCCAGACUCCUACGGGAGGCAGCAGUGGGGAAUAUUGCACAAUGGGCGCAAGCCUGAUGCAGCGACGCCGCGUGAGGGAUGACGGCCUUCGGGUUGUAAACCUCUGUUAGCAUCGAAGAAGCGAAAGUGACGGUAGGUGCAGAGAAAGCGCCGGCUAACUACGUG
rnacentral:rRNA from 1 species